rnacentral:rRNA from 1 species
UAAGCGACUAAGCGUACACGGUGGAUGCCCUGGCAGUCAGAGGCGAUGAAGGACGUGCUAAUCUGCGAUAAGCGUCGGUAAGGUGAUAUGAACCGUUAUAACCGGCGAUUUCCGAAUGGGGAAACCCAGUGUGAUUCGUCACACUAUCAUUAACUGAAUCCAUAGGUUAAUGAGGCGAACCGGGGGAACUGAAACAUCUAAGUACCCCGAGGAAAAGAAAUCAACCGAGAUUCCCCCAGUAGCGGCGAGCGAACGGGGAGCAGCCCAGAGCCUGAAUCAGUGUGUGUGUUAGUGGAAGCGUCUGGAAAGGCGUGCGAUACAGGGUGACAGCCCCGUACACAAAAAUGCACAUAUUGUGAGCUCGAUGAGUAGGGCGGGACACGUGGUAUCCUGUCUGAAUAUGGGGGGGACCAUCCUCCAAGGCUAAAUACUCCUGACUGACCGUUAGUGAACCAGUACCGUGAGGGAAAGGCGAAAAGAACCCCGGCGAGGGGAGUGAAAAAGAACCUGAAACCGUGUACGUACAAGCAGUGGGAGCACGCUUAGGCGUGUGACUGCGUACCUUUUGUAUAAUGGGUCAGCGACUUAUAUUCUGUAGCAAGGUUAACCGAAUAGGGGAGCCGAAGGGAAACCGAGUCUUAACUGGGCGUUAAGUUGCAGGGUAUAGACCCGAAACCCGGUGAUCUAGCCAUGGGCAGGUUGAAGGUUGGGUAACACUAACUGGAGGACCGAACCGACUAAUGUUGAAAAAUUAGCGGAUGACUUGUGGCUGGGGGUGAAAGGCCAAUCAAACCGGGAGAUAGCUGGUUCUCCCCGAAAGCUAUUUAGGUAGCGCCUCGUGAAUUCAUCUCCGGGGGUAGAGCACUGUUUCGGCAAGGGGGUCAUCCCGACUUACCAACCCGAUGCAAACUGCGAAUACCGGAGAAUGUUAUCACGGGAGACACACGGCGGGUGCUAACGUCCGUCGUGAAGAGGGAAACAACCCAGACCGCCAGCUAAGGUCCCAAAGUCAUGGUUAAGUGGGAAACGAUGUGGGAAGGCCCAGACAGCCAGGAUGUUGGCUUAGAAGCAGCCAUCAUUUAAAGAAAGCGUAAUAGCUCACUGGUCGAGUCGGCCUGCGCGGAAGAUGUAACGGGGCUAAACCAUGCACCGAAGCUGCGGCAGCGACACUAUGUGUUGUUGGGUAGGGGAGCGUUCUGUAAGCCUGUGAAGGUGUACUGUGAGGUAUGCUGGAGGUAUCAGAAGUGCGAAUGCUGACAUAAGUAACGAUAAAGCGGGUGAAAAGCCCGCUCGCCGGAAGACCAAGGGUUCCUGUCCAACGUUAAUCGGGGCAGGGUGAGUCGACUCCUAAGGCGAGGCCGAAAGGCGUAGUCGAUGGGAAACAGGUUAAUAUUCCUGUACUUGGUGUUACUGCGAAGGGGGGACGGAGAAGGCUAUGUUGGCCGGGCGACGGUUGUCCCGGUUUAAGCGUGUAGGCUGGUUUUCCAGGCAAAUCCGGAAAACUAAGGCUGAGGCGUGAUGACGAGGCACUACGGUGCUGAAGCAACAAAUGCCCUGCUUCCAGGAAAAGCCUCUAAGCAUCAGGUAACAUCAAAUCGUACCCCAAACCGACACAGGUGGUCAGGUAGAGAAUACCAAGGCGCUUGAGAGAACUCGGGUGAAGGAACUAGGCAAAAUGGUGCCGUAACUUCGGGAGAAGGCACGCUGAUAUGUAGGUGAAGUCCCUCGCGGAUGGAGCUGAAAUCAGUCGAAGAUACCAGCUGGCUGCAACUGUUUAUUAAAAACACAGCACUGUGCAAACACGAAAGUGGACGUAUACGGUGUGACGCCUGCCCGGUGCCGGAAGGUUAAUUGAUGGGGUCAGCGCAAGCGAAGCUCUUGAUCGAAGCCCCGGUAAACGGCGGCCGUAACUAUAACGGUCCUAAGGUAGCGAAAUUCCUUGUCGGGUAAGUUCCGACCUGCACGAAUGGCGUAAUGAUGGCCAGGCUGUCUCCACCCGAGACUCAGUGAAAUUGAACUCGCUGUGAAGAUGCAGUGUACCCGCGGCAAGACGGAAAGACCCCGUGAACCUUUACUAUAGCUUGACACUGAACAUUGAGCCUUGAUGUGUAGGAUAGGUGGGAGGCUUUGAAGUGUGGACGCCAGUCUGCAUGGAGCCGACCUUGAAAUACCACCCUUUAAUGUUUGAUGUUCUAACGUUGACCCGUAAUCCGGGUUGCGGACAGUGUCUGGUGGGUAGUUUGACUGGGGCGGUCUCCUCCUAAAGAGUAACGGAGGAGCACGAAGGUUGGCUAAUCCUGGUCGGACAUCAGGAGGUUAGUGCAAUGGCAUAAGCCAGCUUGACUGCGAGCGUGACGGCGCGAGCAGGUGCGAAAGCAGGUCAUAGUGAUCCGGUGGUUCUGAAUGGAAGGGCCAUCGCUCAACGGAUAAAAGGUACUCCGGGGAUAACAGGCUGAUACCGCCCAAGAGUUCAUAUCGACGGCGGUGUUUGGCACCUCGAUGUCGGCUCAUCACAUCCUGGGGCUGAAGUAGGUCCCAAGGGUAUGGCUGUUCGCCAUUUAAAGUGGUACGCGAGCUGGGUUUAGAACGUCGUGAGACAGUUCGGUCCCUAUCUGCCGUGGGCGCUGGAGAACUGAGGGGGGCUGCUCCUAGUACGAGAGGACCGGAGUGGACGCAUCACUGGUGUUCGGGUUGUCAUGCCAAUGGCACUGCCCGGUAGCUAAAUGCGGAAGAGAUAAGUGCUGAAAGCAUCUAAGCACGAAACUUGCCCCGAGAUGAGUUCUCCCUGACUCCUUGAGAGUCCUGAAGGAACGUUGAAGACGACGACGUUGAUAGGCCGGGUGUGUAAGCGCAGCGAUGCGUUGAGCUAACCGGUACUAAUGAACCGUGAGGCUUAACCU